UACGGAGGGGGCGAGCGUUAUUCGGAAUUAUUGGGCGUAAAGGGCGCGUAGGCGGCUUUGCAAGUGACGGGUGAAAUCCCUCGGCUUAACCGAGGAACUGCCUGUCAGACUGCAUGGCUUGAGACCAGGAGAGGUGAGUGGAAUUCCCAGUGUAGCGGUGAAAUGCGUAGAUAUUGGGAGGAACACCAGUGGCGAAGGCGGCUCACUGGACUGGUACUGACGCUGAGGCGCGAAAGCGUGGGGAGCAAACAGG
rnacentral:rRNA from 1 species